rnacentral:rRNA from 1 species
GGCCCUACGGGGCGCAGCAGGCGCGAAAACUUUACAAUGCGGGAAACCGUGAUAGGGGAACUCCGAGUGCCCGUAAAAUCGGGCUGUCCACCAGUUUAAAUAACUGGUGAAGAAAGGGCCGGGCAAGACCGGUGCCAGCCGCCGCGGUAAUACCGGCGGCUCGAGUGGUGGCCACUAUUACUGGGCUUAAAGCGUUCGUAGCUGGUUUGUUAAGUCUCUGGGGAAAUCUUCCGGCUUAACCGGAAGGCGUCUCAGGGAUACUGGCAGACUAGGGACCGGGAGAGGUGAGGGGUACUCCAGGGGUAGGAGUGAAAUCCUGUAAUCCUUGGGGGACCACCUGUGGCGAAGGCGCCUCACCAGAACGGCUCCGACAGUGAGGGACGAAAGCUGGGGGAGCAAACCGGAUUAGAUACCCGGGUAGUCCCAGCUGUAAACGAUGCGCGUUAGGUGUAUCAGUGACCACGAGUCACUGAGGUGCCGAAGAGAAAUCGUGAAACGUGCCGCCUGGGAAGUACGGUCGCAAGGCUGAAACU